rnacentral:lncRNA from 1 species
GAGCAAUGAGCAAAGACAGCGAGGAGGGAUUGAAUGUCUCUGAGCCGCUACUCCAAGUGCAACGUCAUUUAUCAGUGUCACAGCAGACAAUCCAUGUUAGCCUAACACACAGCAAACACACACGCACACACAGUCACACAAACACACACACACAAAUGUUAUGACCGCAGGCGACAGACAAGGACAGAGAGUCCCUGUAAGAGAAUUCAAUUCAGGCUUUAAGCAAUUUUCUCCAAAAAAUACAUGAGAGCGAGACGAGUCUGAAGACGGUUUUUUUAGGUCCCUCUGCACCUGAGAUUUUCCAAAUUUCAUGCUGCCGUAAAAACUUUGGCUGUUAAAGAAAAGAAGCAUUUCCUCUUGGAAGAAAAAAGACCAAAAACUACAAGUAAGACCCUUUUUGUUCAGUCCUUUGGGUUAAAAAAGUUUGAGGGAGUUUGAAAAAGUUUCUCAUCUUACUCUGGAUUUGUACUUUUAUCACAGUGUAACUCACUUACACCGUCAGAUAUCCAUAAACACAACCAGAGAUUUAAACAAUCAUAUAAUUUUUUUUUUUUUUGCGUAUUGCAAACAUUACCUUCCAUACAUGAAUAAAAUCUGCAUGCAAAGCACAUGCAAACUAAGCAAAGAGAGAGUAAUUCCAAUAUCACACCCCAUUAAACAAACACACGGCUGACUGGCUGGCUGUAAAACCUCUGAGAAAUCUCUCUCUCUCUCUCUCUCUCUCUCUCUCUCUGUCUCUCUCUAUCGUUCGUAGCCUGUAUACAAUAACCAGUUAAGCACAAAAUCCAGUUCUUAUUAUUCAAGGCAUUCAUGUGGAGAUGUAGUUAUAUGACUCCGACUGUUUGUGACCUCUCCUGCAGCACUCAGAGCCCGAUGGCGAGAUCUUUCCUCCGUAUGUGUGACAGCUCAAUCCUGCGUGACACACUCCUGUCUCGUUGUCUUUAUACGUCAACCUCCCCGGGCGAGCUGAUGACAGUCAAGUGAAGAAACCCCUCCGUCACGCCAGUUCAACAACCACUCCUUUGACUCACACCCUAAAAACCGAGACUGAGAGACAGUCGGCAUUCAGAGUUCGCAGACAUCUGUGCAGAGGAGAGGAAAUCUGAGAGUAUUUAACAGAAGAGUCACGAUUUCUCUACGGAUUUAUUCGUCUAACUUUUAGAAAGGUAGAAAUGUAGAAAUAAAACUUUGAAACAGCUGUUUACAUCUCAGUUUGACUGACAACAACAGAGUCUCUUAUAUGAUUCUCCUGCAGCUGAAACUACGGCACACAAAGUUUCUUGUCCUGUUUUUCAAGGUAACUUCAGAGACAGAGAAAUCCUCGGUGCUAAAGCUAACCGACUGACUAACUAUUGUCCCAAAUGGUAGAGGCGUAUCCUGUGAAAUUUAAUGAGUCCUCUUUUUAAGGUGUUUCGCAUCCUCAAAACUAGGGCUGGGUGAUACACCGAAAAUUAACCGAUACCAAAAAUUAUGCCAAUAACCGACACCAUUUUUCCCAUAUCGGUAUAUUCGGUGUUACAUAAACAAAUAAAUCAAAGUUGGUUUUGGAUGUGUGUAGGUAGGCUAUGGUCUCAUGUCCCGUUAAGACGCUGUCCUACAUCAGAGACGUGACUCCACCCCAUCUAGUCCGUAACAAAGAGGGAAAGACAGGUGAGGAGAUGGAGGACGGAGAGAAAGUUGGAGCGGCUGAAGUAGACGAAGUUUGUGGUGAGCAGUUUGUGGAGAAGUUAUCGUCCAUUUAUCGUUUUUAAGGUGAACUGAUCAAUAUAUCAGGAUAAUGAUUUGAGGACAUAUCGCCCAGCCCUACUCCAAACUCCAAACUUAAACCACCUUCGUCAGCUGUAGACCUGAGGCUAAAAUCAACAGUUUGAACCGUGUUGUAACAGAGUAGAUGAUUUAUCAGCAUUUUCAUUUUCCACAUUUUCUUCAGUUGGUUCUUAUAAUCACAGAAAUUGUUUUCACACAUCUAUUUCAUGGGACUCGUGUGAGUUAUCUUACAGGAACAUUACCAGUAAAAGCCUUUUCGUUGGUUAAACAGCGUCCAGGUGUUCAGGUGCCAAUCAGAGCUCUGAAGAGUCCCAGUAAGACCCCCAGACCUUAUUGAAUCUCGAGUCUAUGACCAAGAAAACUGUGACUCUCUGACACGCCGUCUCGUUGGUGUGAGAGUUUCAGAUGUGGAUCUUUUAAAAAGUCUUUUUCAAACUUUUCAAAGUUUUUUUCCAUCAUAUGAAAGAUAACAGGGUGCACCAGUUUCUCGGCUGCCAAUGUCAGGCCGUGGGUUGGAAUCAUAAAUUCAGCUUCUCUCACAUGUAUUAGACUUUUAAGGAAAAAGGAGGGCAAGAAUAAGACAGCUAUCCUCUGAGUCACGAUGAUGCAGGGAAAGAGUCUUGAGCUAGAAUCCCUAAACUCUCACUUUGAAAAUGUAAAAGUUAUUACAGUAAAAUCACUGACUUUAUAUAGAGGCUUUACUGGUUUGACUCCCUUUCUGUGCUCCUCUCAAACCAAAGCUAACUGUCCCCCCUAAAAAGAAAACUUAAAGCUCUUGUGAGAAACUUUUGGUUUGUAUCGACUUUGGCGCCCCCCUGUGGACAACAGAGCCUUCGCCUAUAUAGUGUCUCCUGCCAAAGAAUCGAAAAACGAAAAAAACUUCAAUAUGAAUUUUGUGUCUUUCAUAAAAGUUAGUUCCAUUUAAAGAUUUUUAAAGCUCCUAUGAGGAAAUUUUGGUUUGUGUCAUCUUUGGCGCCCCCUUGUGUACAAAAGAGUUUUUGUCUAUAUAGUAUCCCUGUCUAUAAAAUGUAUCAUUCUGACAUUUAUUGUGAAUAUUUUAUAAACAAAAACAUAAAAUCAGUUUCUGCAGCUGCCUGGCUGACACCUACCCCCUCACACCAGUUUAAGGCUUUAAAGAUUAAACCUAAAAAACGAUCAAUCUUGUUUCUGAUGGUUUGCUUUUAAGUAUCACAAAAAACAUCAAUAUGAAUUUUGUGUAAUUCAUAAAAGUUGAAAAGUCCUCACAGGUGCUUUAAAAAUCUUUAAAGCUCCCGUGAGGACCUUUAAGUCUGUGUCAUCUUUGGCACCCCCUUGUGGACAAAAGUGUCUUCGCCUAUAUAGUGUCUCUUGUCAAGAAACGUCAUCAUUCUGACUCUUUUGACAGUCAAAUUCAUCAUUAAUUGUGAAUAUUUUAUACAAAAAAACUUAAAAAAUCAGUUUUUGCAUCUGCCUGGCUGACACCUACCCGCUCACAUUAGUUUAAGGCUUUAAAAGUUAAAACCAAAAAACAAUCAAUCUUGUUUCUGAUGAUCUUGUUUGCUUUUAAAUAUCACAAAAAACAUCAAUAUGAAUUUUAUGUAUUUUAUAAAAGUCAAAAAAUCCUCAGAGGAGCUUUAAAAUCUUCAAAAUCUUCAUUUUGAGGAAAUUAAAAGGUUACAUUCCUUUAAAAUUAUUGAACAUUUACACAGCCAAAGCUCAAACAUGAAUAAAACAUGAAAAUAAUUUAGUUUCCUGUAGUUCUGAAAUGCAUUUGCACGUCAGCACAAUCUGCACAUUUGCUCCUGUCGAGUAGAUUCAGCUCAAAAGAUCACAAAAGGGUGUUAAAGGUCUUCAUAAUCAAUCAAGACAGCAAAUAAUUGGAGUCAUAAUUCCUACAGGAGUCACACUUUAACGUACCGCCUUUACGAAGAGACACAGUGACGCACUUACAGAUGAAUAACUUGACAUUUGAGAUAAACCGGAGAAAGAAGAAACAGCUGAAGUAAAACGACAACGAGGACGACGAGGACGAAGACGAGGACGUGUUUGAAAACUACAGCUGAUGGUAGAUUGGCCUUUUGGUUUCUCUACAGCAGAGUAAUUAAUUAAAGAUCUCUGACAGUUAUUGCCUUCGUGUCGAGACCUUUUUGAAAUUAAUGAGACGAUGAUCCUAAAUAAAAAGUUCAGCUCACAGUUAAUUAGCCCUCAAGUCAAUUAUGAAAGCAGUGUUUGGGACUAAAUAAAAUCACCACAUACGGACGUCUGCGCUCUGUUCAAAGUUUAAGAGAAGAGUUUUAUUUGGACCUGAGAGAGUCUGUUUUUAUCCACCGACCUGCACACCUUCAUUUGUCGUGUUUAGUCGUGUUGGCCUUGGAUAGAGAAAGCACUUAAGAUCCAUAAAUACCAUCUUUUCAAGGUGCACAACAAGUCUUUCUGAACCGAGACCUUGAGGCAGAGUUAUGUGACUCGCUCCUGAGGCGAUGUCAGGAAGACACUGAACUUCAGUUAAGGUAGGGUGACCAUAUUCUGAAUCCCCAAAAAGAGGAGACAACUACACGCGGGUGGAGUCACGGAGUCAAGGGUAUUUAAUUUUGAGAGUUUUUCGAGUUGGCUCAAGUGUUUUUUACGCACUUCUAACUCAGUAAAACCACGCGACACAAAGUUAAAACUUCCAGACAAAACCUCGGACAUUUGAAGGAUUUUAUUUACUCCCCUGGAUAAGGACAGACAGACCCCAAAGAGAGGACAUGUCCGAGUAAAAGAGGACGUAUGCUCAUCCUAAGUUAAGCAGCUGUUGUCUAUCCAUCGUCUUAUAGCAGAGACUAAAUAAGCUGAAUGUGACUCUGUGGUUUUUAUUGCGUCACCUGCACUCUGGCUUCUGAUUGGACCGUAUGGUAACAUGUGAUCAUGUCCUUACUUGCUAGAUUUGGAGUUAAUCUUUACACAGGAUGAAGUGCAUGAAAAUCUUAAAUCUUGAAUGUCUAAUUUCAGUGAACUGAUCAGAGUUUGUUUUCACUUUUGUCAAAAAUUAUCUCUCUUUUAAAAAAAUUAAAUUCACUGAGGCACAAAAGGAAGUUCCUGAUAACAUGUCGCAAAAAUAUUAAUCUCCACAAGGCCGAGAAUUAAAGAUUUAUACCAAGAUUUCAGGUGAGAAGGAGGAAAAGACUGAAUACAACCUGAACACAUAUACGUCCUGUAUGUUUUAGCCUUUAGCAUGAAUAAGGAGAACUAAAUUUAACUGCAAUUAAAGAUUUUGUUAAUCAAUUUUGAAAUCCAAGUUUAUUUUCCAAAUUUUGACCUUGUCCUGCAGAAAUUCGGCGCUAUCGUCCAAAAGAAGUGAGAAAAUUUCCCAGCAGCUGCCGCAGCAGUCGAUGUUUUUUUUCUUAAGUGAAGAGUAAACAACUCUGAGUCCCUCUGUGAUCUGUGUACAAUGAUUUACUGUGGCUGAAAAUCACAGCGAGUGGACCCACGCUGCGUCUGACUCACACAGUGUGAAUGAAGCGGUCUAUAAACAACGAUCUGUAAAGAAUAAAUCCAGCUUUAAUUAUCUAUCUGGAAAAAAUUCCUCCAUCUGUUUCAUGAACUUGAAGACGUGCUCCGACUUCAAUCUGCUCGACACUAUUUUCAGAGAAGUUCUUUGGAGCCGAACCAGCGAAGAAGUCGAGUCUCUGACACGGAGAGUCUGUGAUUGAACAUCCAGGUAGAACAAAAGGUUCACCUCCACUUCAGGAGGAGACUAAUAGGGAUCUGGAGUCCAGGCAGCUCUCCCGGAGAAUGUCCUGCUUUUCAACACUAAAUGAGUUUAAUGGCAGGUUGCUGUCAUUCGGCGUGGAGGAAAGCGGUUUAAACACACCGCUGGAGGGUUACUGCAGAGUCACCGUCACUCACAAUCUGAUUCCCGGGUCCCGCUUCAGCGUCCAAUUGGGAAUCACUUAUGAAGUGUCUGCUGAUAACAAGUGA